CUGAUUGGGUAUUACAGCGCUUCACAUAAGACGAUGAAAUGGUACAGGACAUUUUUUUACCAUUUUUUGGACAUUGCUAUUGUGAACGCUCACAUAUUGUACCAGCAGUGUCAGAGGGGAUCGAUGACUCAGAAGGAGUUUCGUCACGCCCUCAUCGAGGAGCUUGCGGACCUAGGAACACCAUCCACAUCCAGGCCAUCCACCUCACAGGUCGCUGCACCCCCAAACCCAGCAGCAUCCCACAAGCCGCAUUACUUGGAUGAACAGGAUGAGGCUAAGCGGGACUCUGCGGGCAGGGCCGGCAGACGGCUCUGCAAGCUGUGUCACAGAAAGACACCAGUCGGGUGUUCGACGUGUGGCGUUCCCUUGUGUUUUGUUGCCACAAGGGACUGUUAUAAUGAGUGGCACACUCAUUAUAACAUUAUAACAAGGGAUGUAGAAUGGCCCAAAGUGUCCUGACAGCGCACUGUACUGAUUUUGUACGGUACUUUCUUGUCAUAUUUUCUUAUCAUAUUUUUUGUAUAUAGUUCACUCAUUUUUCAUAUUUUGUUAUUGGCACAAGUAGUAAUAGUAUAUUGCAGAAUAAUAAAAUCCUUGUUUG